rnacentral:lncRNA from 1 species
UUUGUUGACAACUUACCACGUGCCUGGUCCUGUUCCAGGCGUCAGAACCUCAACUCAUGAAAUGCUCACAGUGGCCUUCUGAGCCUCUCUAGAAGCAUCAUUUGAGUUCAACCUUCAAGAGCAAACAACCGGACCUUAGGAAUUCCAAAGGCAUUUGAUAACCUUUACUGAGAGAUGAGUCAGACUCAAUUCACAAAAUGAAACUUACCCGGGAAAGUCUCACAAACUCUGGCCCCUGAGUGUAAGUGACCCGCAGAUACAGAAUGCCAGAAGAUUGCAUCAGAUUCACGUAUGCUUGUUUUCCACUGGGCAGUCCCUGGGUGUUAAAAGAGAUGAUCUAGCCGACAUGGCUUUCAGGGACCCCUUGCCUUCUGUAAUGGUAAGGCCGGCCCCCAAAUCAGGCACCAUAAGGGGGAAAGUCCCUAAAUUAACAUCUGGGUGCUUUUAGGUAGCAGGAGUGGUUGCUGAGAUGCAACAAAUGAUCAGUGUUCACUAGAGCAAGAUUUGGUGAAGGCUCAGGGAGGCAGAGCUGGCCUGAAAGCACUGACCAAGAAGCACACUGGGGUCAAGGGUGGCAAAGAUAUCCAAGAGCUGAGAAGGGCAGGCGUCUCUCAGAGAGUGAGAUGAAGAACAGAUACCCAGAGAAAGAAUACGCUUGCCCGCCUUGUAGUUUUGGAUGUGCCCUGAAUAAGGAGGGUCUUGUUUCCUGAAGUUUACAAAUCAAAUGGAUCUGUGCUUUUGUGAUGAGACUAGGAGGUUCAAAUCCAUAUCAGCUAAUCAGCCCUUCAACAUGCUCAGACUCACCAUUCAAUAAGACUUACACGACCUGAACUGAGUCAGCCGGGGCUGGCGAUGUAUAAUUGAAAGCAUACUUUUAAAGCAAGUUUAUGCAAUGGCUGGCUAAAGUGGUGUGGUAGGAGGAAGGAAGGGUUUGCAGGACAGACGCAGGAGUAAAGUCAGUCUCUUCCAUUUAGUGCCGUAGGACUAUGAGCCUUUACUUCAUCUCUCUGGCAUCUGAUU